CAGAGGCCUGGACUCCCCCCGGGCCACAGCCUACUGGAGGCUCCAGUCCCCAGAGACAGCUGGGGCAUCGCCCCCAAAGCCGUGGAAGCCCCACCCACGGUGCCAUCAUACCACAGCCAGGACAUCUUGUGACACACACAGCCCCAGCCUCAGCCUCCAUACACACGCACCACACACACUCAUGCAAAACACAUACACAGCCACACUGAAUGCACCCCUAGAUUUGAGAUGGGUGUUACAGGUGUCUCUCCGCCCCAGCCCCCUCCUGGCCACGCGGCCACCUGCCGACCCUCGCGUUUCCCCACACCCUCCCCCUACUUCCGUGUGGGGUUCAGAAGCCCCUCCCUGGCGCUCGCCCUGUCACCCAGAAAGGAAACUCACUGUCAACUGGAGAACAGGCCAGUGGCGGAGCCCCAGCGCCCACAAACCCUCGGAGAGGGCCUGGCGGGAGGAAAGGCACGCACCGAUGGCAGAGCCCCAGUGCCCUGAGAGAAGCCAGAACCCACAACCUCCCACCUCCCAACCCUUGCCGGUCUCCCCACCUCCGCCUGGGGGAUGGCCAAGACACAGCCCAGUCUGGAGCGGGGAGCAGGGACAAGAUGACCUCAGGAAGCCCAGGCUACAAGGGUGCCUGCUUCUUCCCCUCCCCCGCUCCACUCCGCAGGCGAGACCCCCAACACUGCUCCCCGACACUCUCCGAGGCACCCCUCCUCCGUGCUCACACCCAAAACACGUCUGCUCACCCGUGGGCCUCCCACUCCGAUCACAACGAGGACUGGCCACAAGUCCAGGUGUCAGUUACCUUCACCCCGACCUGGUCCCUGUCCGGCCUCGCCAGGUCAGCACCCGCCUCGCGCACAGCAGGGCCGGGUGGAAGGAGGCCGGGCCUGGCCGUGGCUCAGGCGCCACCUCGCUGGGGAAACUGGGGGGUGGUCUCAGCCCCCUUCUGGUCCUCAGCCUCCCCAUCUAUCCCAAGAAGCUGGGGCAGGCCUGGGCGGCGAGGGGACCCCCACCGCUGGCUCGCCGACUCCGCCCCCCGGAGGCCCCUCCCGCGCCCCGCCCCUGCCCCCGCCCCGGGGCCGCGCGGGCUGCCUGGGAGUCUGCGGUCCAGCAGCGGUCCAGAGCGCGCGAGGUUCGGGGAGCUCGGCGAGGCUGCUGGUACCUGCGUCCGCCCGGCGGUGAGUCCGCGGGGCCGCGACCGGGACGCCCCCGCCACCUGCGCGCACGCGCUCAGACCCGGCGGCCUCGGCUGCGGUGCACGCGGCCCCGGCCCAGCCACGCGCGGCGGAAGGCGCCCUGCGGGGGCCGGGGCUGGAGACGGUGGGAGAGAGCAAGAGGGGCGCACGGGGAGGCGCAGGAGAGGGGUUGGGGUUGCCGGUGGGUUGGUCCCGCGAGAGCUGAGCCUCUCCUCCCAUCCCCCCCCAGGCCUCCCCGAAUGUUUCCAAAGAUCUGGGGCGGGAGCGGGCGGAGACUGCCGCCAGGAGCCUCCCGGCCGGCCCAGGGCUGCGCAGCCACUGGAGCCCAUCACCCAACUCCAGACGCUCCUGGCUCCCCAGCGUGGGCCGGGAGUGACAGCUUUGCUGACUAGGGGAGGGGGCACGGGACCUUGCAGAGCUCCUGGCCGGAAAGGGAGGAUUGACCGCUCCCCCGCGUAUCACCCCGGAGCACUGGAACCCGCCCCCGCUUCUUGUUCUGGCACUGGUGGUGCUUGCGGUGAGGUCCAAGGAGCCCAGCCUCCCGGAGUGGACCGCCGGGCCGCUCCCCAUUCCCACAGGAGAGGCUCCCGCCUCUUGCUGGCUGGGCAGCCCCUAGAUACCUGGCUCCCAGGGGCCAGCUUCCCUGAGCCUGGGGACGAGCCUGCAGCCUGGACCCCACGGGCGCCCCCUACGGCCUGCCGGCUCCCUCUGGGUUCCACAGCCCACCCGGCCUUCCUAAUUGCCUUCUGCUCCCACCGGUGCCUUAGCUCAGCCUGGUGGCCCUGCGGGUUGGGUGCCAACCAGUGGGCAGAUGGCGGCACCAACUGGACCUGUUUGCGGCCCUGUAUGCCAGGACUUCCUCAGAGACAGGACGGCUGCUCUGGUUUGUGA
rnacentral:lncRNA from 1 species